GUCUAAGUGCUGGAAUCGGAAGACAGUGAUUACUUAAGAUAAUCUGGGAAUAACCCGUGAGUGUUCAAGUCACUCCUUAGAUA
rnacentral:tRNA from 1 species